rnacentral:rRNA from 1 species
GGAAUAUUGCGCAAUGGGGGAAACCCUGACGCAGCAACGCCGCGUGAAUGAUGAAGGCCUUCGGGUUGUAAAGUUCUGUCUUCUGGGACGAUAAUGACGGUACCAGAGGAUGAAGCCACGGCUAACUACGUGCCAGCAGCCGCGGUAAUACGUAGGUGGCAAGCGUUGUCCGGAUUUACUGGGCGUAAAGGAUGCGUAGGCGGACAUUUAAGUCAGAUGUGAAAUACCCGAGCUUAACUUGGGUGCUGCAUUUGAAACUGGGUGUCUAGAGUGCAGGAGAGGUAAGUGGAAUUCCUAGUGUAGCGGUGAAAUGCGUAGAGAUUAGGAAGAACACCAGUGGCGAAGGCGACUUACUGGACUGUAACUGACGCUGAGGAAUGAAAGCGUGGGGAGCAAACA